rnacentral:rRNA from 1 species
UCGAAGGUAGCAUAAUCAGUAGUUUUUUAAUUGAGAACUUGUAUGAAUGGUUGAACAAAAUAUAAACUGUUUCAAUUAAUUUAAUUUGAAUUUAAUUUUUUAGUUAAAAAGCUAAAAUAAUUUAAAAAGACGAGAAGACCCUAUAGAUUUUUAUUAUUUUAAAUAUUUUUUUUAGUAGGUAAAUUAAAAAAUUGUAUUGAUUAUAAUUUUAUUGGGGUGAUAAUAAAAUUUAGUAAACUUUUAUAAGUUAUAACAUGAUAAAUGAUUGUUUGAUCCAUUUUUAUGAUUAAAAGAUUAAAUUACCUUAGGGAUAACAGCGUAAUUUUUAUAUAAAGUUCAUAUUAAUAUAAAAUUUUGCGACCUCGAUGUUGGAUUAA